rnacentral:rRNA from 1 species
AUGCGCCCUGGCUGUGGUUUGAUUGGGCCGGCGCGCCCGACCAGCCAGCCUCCUCCUUCUCCGCCUUAUCAGCAAGGGUGGAAGAGACCCACCGUCGCUCCGGCUGCUCCGGCGCGUCAUAGUCCUUCUCCUCUGUCUUGUAAGCAACGAAAGAAGGCAGCCGCAGCCGCUCGGCCUGCUCCGGCAUCUAGUAGUACAUCCAGAGGCGGGAGGCAAUACAUAUUCGGUCCAUCUCUCAAGACUCCAGAAAAAUUACCAUACGAGAUGACCGAACAGGAAAACGCGGAUAUCUAUCAAGCCCAAGUGAAGGACUACUUCAAAACGCAAAGAGCUAAGAAACAUCCACCUCCGGAGGAGAAGAUAGAUCCGGUGAAAGCGAAGCACACUUUGGAUGCCCUGCAGCGACCACCACCGUCUCCACCGCAAACCAACUAUGAGCGCAUUACUGAAAGGACAUAUAAGGAAGCGAAGCGGUCGGAAAGUACUUGCAGUGACAAAAGGUUACAUGAACGAAGAAGUGGGAAAGUUGUAUGCUGA